ACAACUACCCUGCCCCCGACGCGCCGGCCGCCCGUUGCCUCACCUGCUAACGGCCGACACUGACUCGCCGCGCUUGACAACGUGGAUGGCCAGGAAUGGUCGGUGCUUUAGCGCAAGCUCAUCCAUUCUCUCCUCCGAUGCAGAAGGAUAGUUGCAGAGUCACACAUACUACCAUGGCCAUUGGUGAUACUAGAUUGGAAAGCCUUAUUUUUGUUAAUUGUCUUGAACUGGGUGGAUGUGGGCUGUAGUUGCGGAUAAGAUGGCAAAUGUUAAUAACUAUACAUCAGCAAGCGAAGAAUCCCAGAUUCCUCCAGGAAAGGCAGCCACAAUGAUCAUUGAAACAUCAAUUCAAUCGAUUUGAAAAACCAUAUGGCCCCAUUUUUACUUUCUAUACAAGCUUUUGAAACAAUGUUUUCGAUUACGCUCUGACCUGAGAAGAGUAGAUGCAAGCACAUAAAAAAUUAUAUGU